UACGAGAGGCCCAAACGUUAUUCGGAAUUACUGGGCUUAAAGAGUUCGUAGGCGGCAUUGCAAGUAGGGUGUGAAAGCCCUCGGCUCAACCGAGGAAUUGCGCUCUAAACUGCAGUGCUCGAGGAAGCUAGAGGUGAGCAGAACAGAUGGUGGAGCGGUGAAAUGCGUUGAUAUCAUCUGGAAUACCGGAGGCGAAGGCGGCUCACUGGGGCUUUUCUGACGCUGAGGAACGGAAAGCCAGGGUAGCGAACGGG
rnacentral:rRNA from 1 species